AGAAGGGACAGACAGACGUUGGAGGCGGGAGUCACUUGGGCUUCCAUGGGAACGCCAUACAGAGGCCUUGAACCUUUGAUCUCCUCAUCU
rfam:Oryctolagus cuniculus chromosome 13, whole genome shotgun sequence.